UAUCUCUGUAGAGUCUGCAUAUCAAUAAGCGGAGGAAAAGAAACUAACAAGGAUUCCCUUAGUAACGGCGAGUGAAGCGGGAAGAGCUCAAAUUUGAAAUCUUCAAGGUUUUACCUUGACGAAUUGUAGUUUAAAGAAGUGUUUUCUGUUGAGUUUCGGUAAAAGUUCUUUGGAAUAGGGACAUCAUAGAGGGUGAGAAUCCCGUAUUUGACCAUUAUUUCAGCUGUGUGAUACACUUUCAAAGAGUCGGAUUGUUUGGGAAUGCAGUCCAAAAUGGGUGGUGAAUUUCAUCUAAAGCUAAAUAUUGGCGAGAGACCGAUAGCGAACAAGUACCGUGAGGGAAAGAUGAAAAGAACUUUGAAAAGAGAGUUAUAUAGUACGUGAAAUUGUCAAAAGGGAAGCGUUUGACACCAGUGUUGUUUUCUCGAAAAUCAAUUAAAAAUGGCUUGAUUUUGUGUUGCAUUGACCUUAAAAGCUUUCUUCACUUUUUUCAUGUCUUUUUUAAUGCACUUUUCGUUUAACAAGUCAACAUCAGUUUCUUUUGUUGUAAAAAGGUCAUUGGAAGGUGGCUUUCUUUUCGGAGAAAGUGUUUAUAGCCUUUGACUUCUGCAAUCGGAGAGACUGAGGUCUGCAGCGUAGAUCCUUCUGGAUUAGAUUCAUUUGUGCUAAGUUACAACCGUUUAUAGACAACUUGUUGACUAUAUUCGAUCCUGUAGCUUACUCGCUUAUGUAAUUUUACCUACGCUUAGGAUGUUGAUAUGCAUGACUGAUAU
rnacentral:rRNA from 1 species